AUUGAACGCUGGCGGCAGGCCUAACACAUGCAAGUCGAACGAGUGGCGGACGGGUGAGUAAUGUCUGGGAAACUGCCUGAUGGAGGGGGAUAACUACUGGAAACGUUAGCUAAUACCGCAUACCAUCGGAUGUGCCCAGAGUGGAUUAGCUAGUAGGUGGGGUAAAGGCUCACCUAGGCGACGAUCCCUAGCUGGUCUGGGAGGAUGACCAGCCACACUGGACCUGUGACACGGUCCAGACUCCGGAGGGGGGCAGCAGUGGGGACUAUGGCAGCAUGGGUGGAAGCCUGAUGCAGCCAUGGCGCGUGUAUGAAGAAGGCCUUCGGGUUGUAAAGUACUUUCAGCGGGGAGGCGUGACCCGCAGAAGAAGCACAGGCUAACUCCGUGCCAGCAGCCGCGGUAAUAC
rnacentral:rRNA from 1 species